GAUGAACGCUAGCUACAGGCUUAACACAUGCAAGUCGAGGGGAAACGACAUCGAAAGCUUGCUUUUGAUGGGCGUCGACCGGCGCACGGGUGAGUAACGCGUAUCCAACCUGCCCAUCACUUGGGGAUAACCUUGCGAAAGUAAGACUAAUACCCAAUGAUAUCUCUAGGAGACAUCUGAAAGAGAUUAAAGAUUUAUCGGUGAUGGAUGGGGAUGCGUCUGAUUAGCUUGUUGGCGGGGUAACGGCCCACCAAGGCAACGAUCAGUAGGGGUUCUGAGAGGAAGGUCCCCCACAUUGGAACUGAGACACGGUCCAAACUCCUACGGGAGGCAGCAGUGAGGAAUAUUGGUCAAUGGGCGAGAGCCUGAACCAGCCAAGUAGCGUGCAGGAAGACGGCCCUAUGGGUUGUAAACUGCUUUUAUAAGGGAAUAAAGUGAGAGUCGUGACUCUUUUUGUAUGUACCUUAUGAAUAAGGACCGGCUAAUUCCGUG
rnacentral:rRNA from 1 species